CUCUCAGCCCGCGAUCGCGCAGACACACCUGCCCAGGUGCGUUCCCCGCCCCGCGGCCCCGCGCUCACCGCCGCCCCGCGGGGGACACCCUCUCAGGACGGGCCACACACGCCCCGCGGCCAGCCCCACUCACCCUGCUCAGCCGCGAGAAGAAAGGGUGUCUCCGCGAAGCCCCGCCGACCGCUCCCACCAACUUAACAACUCUCCAGCCGCCCGAGAACGGCCACUUCCGGCCUCCCGCCAGCAAACCGGAAGUAAGCCUAGCCACCAUUCUCCGCCGCCUCCGUGGGCCAGCGCUGACCGGAGGGGACCUCGGGGAAGAUGUCCGAGCAGUUGGAGCGCGCAGGGCGCCGAUGGGGAGUCCAGAGCGAGGAACUUAGAACAGAAAAGGUCGUGUAGAGGAUCUCUUGUUCUAAGGACUGACUCUUGGUCAUUUUUUGCGUCCCUUCUGGAAUUGUGAUCCUGCUUCCCCCCCUUUCUUUACAGCAGAUGGUUGCGUCCGUCCCGUAGCUUUCCUUUGCCCGCAUUCCAGAGCUGGGAGAGAGGCGGGGACCCGGGGCCCAAUUUCCAUGUAGGGAAAUCGCGGAGAGAGUUGCCGCGGGCCUCCGGUGACUGGCAUUGGCUCCGCCCCCGAGCGCCCGGCGUCCCCGUCCGGCUGGAGUGCGCCUGUGCAGGAAGUUGGUGUGCAUCAGCGUCGAGAAUCAAGUCAAUGUGGAAAAAUUAAUUGAAGUUUUACUACUCUACCUAAUGUCCUGAUAUGAAAUUCUAAUGAUUAGGCCCACUACCGAAGGCCUCUGAUGCUAUUUGACGUCCCUGUUCUUUUGGAACGUAGAAGAGCUCUUCCUAAAGCAGCAGGCUGAGAAGUCCAAGAUUAAGGAACUGACUGCUUCACUUCUUGCUGAAGACCUUUAUGGCUUACACACGGCCUCCUCCUUGCCCUAUUCUACAUGGCAGGGAGAAGUUUUCCCUCCUCUUCCUAGAGAGAGAGACAGAGUGUAUGAACCUUGUGGAACUCCCCAGCAAGGCUCACCCCCACUGAAAUCCGUACUUUAGGAAACAGCUACAUUGCCAAGCAUCUGUAGAUAUGCUCUGGAUUUAUGCUGAGUUCUCAUUUCCCAGAGAAGCAAUGGCAGACAAAAUUUCUCAUCUAUGUAACUGGUCCAACGUGAAAUUUCCUCAGCUGCACAGAUGGCCAGAUUAGCCUUAGGUAGGUUAGCUAUUGUUUGGAUAGAUAGGCUUAAUAAAAAGUAUUAUCCAAGGCAAAAGAGGACAAUAAAGAAAAUACUUAGCACCACUA